AUACGGAGGGUGCAAGCGUUAAUCGGAAUUACUGGGCGUAAAGCGCACGUAGGCGGCGCACGCAGUCAGAGGUGAAAGGCCUGGGCUCAACCCAGGAACUGCCUUUGAUACUGGUGUGCUAGAGUCCGGGAGAGGGUAGCGGAAUUCCCAGUGUAGAGGUGAAAUUCGUAGAUAUUGGGAAGAACACCGGUUGCGAAGGCGGCUACCUGGACCGGCACUGACGCUGAGGUGCGAAAGCGUGGGGAGCAAACAGGAUUAGAAACCCCGGUAGUCC
rnacentral:rRNA from 1 species